GGGGGAUAGCCCGGCGAAAGCCGGAUUAAUACCGCAUACGAUCUACGGAUGAAAGCGGGGGACCUUCGGGCCUCGCGCUAUAGGGUUGGCCGAUGGCUGAUUAGCUAGUUGGUGGGGUAAAGGCCUACCAAGGCGACGAUCAGUAGCUGGUCUGAGAGGACGACCAGCCACACUGGGACUGAGACACGGCCCAG
rnacentral:rRNA from 1 species